rnacentral:rRNA from 1 species
AUGAACGCUAGCUACAGGCUUAACACAUGCAAGUCGAGGGGCAGCAUGGUCUUAGCUUGCUAAGGCCGAUGGCGACCGGCGCACGGGUGAGUAACACGUAUCCAACCUGCCGUCUACUCUUGGACAGCCUUCUGAAAGGAAGAUUAAUACAAGAUGGCAUCAUGAGUCCACAUGUUCACAUGAUUAAAGGUAUUCCGGUAGACGAUGGGGAUGCGUUCCAUUAGAUAGUAGGCGGGGUAACGGCCCACCUAGUCUUCGAUGGAUAGGGGUUCUGAGAGGAAGGUCCCCCACAUUGGAACUGAGACACGGUCCAAACUCCUACGGGAGGCAGCAGUGAGGAAUAUUGGUCAAUGGGCGAGAGCCUGAACCAGCCAAGUAGCGUGAAGGAUGACUGCCCUAUGGGUUGUAAACUUCUUUUAUAAAGGAAUAAAGUCGGGUAUGGAUACCCGUUUGCAUGUACUUUAUGAAUAAGGAUCGGCUAACUCCGUGCCAGCAGCCGCGGUAAUACGGAGGAUCCGAGCGUUAUCCGGAUUUAUUGGGUUUAAAGGGAGCGUAGAUGGAUGUUUAAGUCAGUUGUGAAAGUUUGCGGCUCAACCGUAAAAUUGCAGUUGAUACUGGAUAUCUUGAGUGCAGUUGAGGCAGGCGGAAUUCGUGGUGUAGCGGUGAAAUGCUUAGAUAUCACGAAGAACUCCGAUUGCGAAGGCAGCCUGCUAAGCUGCAACUGACAUUGAGGCUCGAAAGUGUGGGUAUCAAACAGGAUUAGAUACCCUGGUAGUCCACACGGUAAACGAUGAAUACUCGCUGUUUGCGAUAUACGGCAAGCGGCCAAGCGAAAGCGUUAAGUAUUCCACCUGGGGAGUACGCCGGCAACGGUGAAACUCAAAGGAAUUGACGGGGGCCCGCACAAGCGGAGGAACAUGUGGUUUAAUUCGAUGAUACGCGAGGAACCUUACCCGGGCUUAAAUUGCAGAUGAAUUACGGUGAAAGCCGUAAGCCGCAAGGCAUCUGUGAAGGUGCUGCAUGGUUGUCGUCAGCUCGUGCCGUGAGGUGUCGGCUUAAGUGCCAUAACGAGCGCAACCCUUGUUGUCAGUUACUAACAGGUCAUGCUGAGGACUCUGACAAGACUGCCAUCGUAAGAUGUGAGGAAGGUAGGGAUGACGUCAAAUCAGCACGGCCCUUACGUCCGGGGCUACACACGUGUUACAAUGGGGGGUACAGAGGGCCGCUACCACGCGAGUGGAUGCCAAUCCCAAAAACCUCUCUCAGUUCGGACUGGAGUCUGCAACCCGACUCCACGAAGCUGGAUUCGCUAGUAAUCGCGCAUCAGCCACGGCGCGGUGAAUACGUUCCCGGGCCUUGUACACACCGCCCGUCAAGCCAUGGGAGCCGGGGGUACCUGAAGUGCGUAACCGCGAGGAGCGCCCUAGGGUAAAACUGGUGACUGGGGCU